ensembl:lncRNA
UUGCCAGGGGGCCAAGGGGGGCAUUAACAGGGAAAGGGGGGCACAAAGAAAUACUUUCUUAUUUUCAUUUAAAAUGUCUGGCUGUUAUUAAAUAAUUAUCUGAAGCUUACAACCAAAGUUUUUAUCUGAUGUAAAAUGUAUAGAAAUCAUACAUAUACCAACAAGACUGUGUACAUCACUGUCACAACAGUGUUUGUUUUCAUUCAAAGGCUAUAUGGCUUUAAUACCUGGUGGGCCGGUCUUUAGUCAAGCCCGGGCUGUUUUUUUGUCCCAGUCCAGCCCUGGGCACGACACGCAGUGAAUUAAUCUGAGAGGGUGCAUCAAAAAAUAAAUGGCCGGGCCAGCAGUGCAUAUCACAAAUCAGCUCGCAUAGACACAUUAGUUGUGCCUCUUCAUAAUGAAUGAUGGUAUCUUAGCUAACAACCCCAACUACCAGAUUCAACUUGUAAUUGGCUAAAAAUAAUUUAGCCUACUGGUGAGAGGGUCGUUGUUAGCUUUCCACAAUCCGACACUUCAAAAGCUUCAGGAGCUUUCCGCUCAGCACAGCAUCAGCACUACGGAAAUACACAGAUACAUCCGUAGACUCGAGACACAAUGCAUUUUUUUUUAAAUGUUAUUUAUAAGAUUUUAAGUUCAAAGUUACAUAACGUCACACCAGACAAAGGACAUAAGAUUCAAAAACAAUAACAUUUAAGCACAAAAAAAAAAAAAAAAACCAGAAACCAAACACACAACAAAAAAAAAACCAAACAGGAAAACAGGAAAGAAAAGGAAAAAAAAUUAAAUAAAUAAAAAAUUUAUUAAUAAAUGAAAAAAAAAAAAAAUACACCAGUUAGCCAGUACAAAUCAAAAGUUCAAAAGAAACACCAUUGUUCAAAGAAGAUGAUCUUCUGCGUGAGUUUAGACAGGGCAACAGAGAGUUCACCAAGACCAAAAGAUGUGGGAAACAAGUCCAGGAAGGAAUCAGGGUCCGGCAGAAGUGCAGUUUCACACAAACACAAAGUGCAGUCAAAUGGGUUAAAGUUUAUGUUGAAUUCCCAUUAAUAUGAUUGAGAAAAGGGCCCCAGAUUUCGACAAACUUAAAAUGGGUGUCAGCCAAACGAUAACGAACCUCUUCAAUAUACAAACAAGCAAUCAUCUCAUGUAGCCAAACCCUGAACAAUGGAGGAGAUGGUGAUUUCCAGGCUCUAAGAAUAAGUCUUUUAGCUACAAUCAUGCCAAACAUUAAGGCUCUCUGAAGAGGAUGUCUGAGUGCCAAUGAGGUUAGGGAGACACAAUGCAUUUUUGGGACUUUCAGGUGUAUGGACCAAUGUUUUAUUUUCUGAUCAAACCAGAAAUCUUUAAUGAGCAGCUAGAUUUGUCUCGCAUUAACUGGCUAAGUUAAUGCCAGUUAAUGCAACAUCGAAGCAGCUGGUAUCCACAGCUGUGCGUGUUCAUGGAGCUUGCAUUUUCACCUGCUGGACAUCACUACCUGACAAGUUUAACUGUCUUCAGAACAUUGCAGAGGCCUUAUUGACAGUAUUUGGCUCUAAUAUCUGUGUGAGCACAUUUUCUCCUACACGAAGCGUGUCCUCAGGUAGCCGUCUGAAUGCUGGAGUGCUGAGUGGGAGACCAGAGAUGACAUUAACAUGUGUGUCUCUGUAUUAACAGACAUGCCAUAUUGGCUUAGUUUAUUUUUCUUAUCAUUGUUGUGAGGACACCAUAAAUAGCAUUUGUAUUUUCUGUUGUACAGUCCAUUUGCUGUUAUGAAGUUCUUGUUGUGGAUAAAAUGUGUCUUUUUUUGUUUAUAUUGUGUAACUGUUCAUAUAGAGCAUUAUUAAAUUUAUUGCUAAAGCAAUCAUAUGGCACACUGACUUCUGAGGAAAUUUUAAAUGGCACUCGCCAUCAGAAAGGUUGCCUACCCCUGGUCUAGAGGAUAACCAAGUUAGGCACACUGACAAGUGUCCUAGUGACUGUCAAAAUUAACGCGUUAACGCAAAUUAAUCCGCCAUCACGGUCAAUGUGAUAAAAAAAAUUUAACGCAAUUAAUGCAUCUGGAGUGCAGAAUGACUCAAAAUCCCUGAAAUGUUUCUGUCAAUGCAUUUUGGGCAGUUUUUGCAAGUAGAGUUACCUUUGCACAUGGGCAAAUGGGCAGUUGAUCAGGUAGUGCGUAUAUUUUCCCUUUUUUCUCGAGUCUGUUUGCUCAUGCAAAAUUAAAUGCGAUUAAUAUAGAAUACAAAUAAAUGAUAUUUAAUCGUGAUUAAUCAAAAUUAAUCCACUGUAACCCUGUAAGGUUUUAAUUGUUUGACAGCACUCAUUUAUAUUAUAUAUUAGUGUAUACUUACCUAUUAGUAUAUAGGUUUUUUAAAAAGUUGUAUUUCACAGGAGAGAACCUGUGUUAAAAGAUUGAAGAAAACUAUUCAUUCAUAUUCAUAUUCAUAUUUUUUAAAUCACUAGUCCUGGCACAAGCAACUGGAUCUGCAUAGGCUAGGCCUGUUAGGCGUUGGCGGUUAGACUCCGAUUGCCCGCCUCGGCAGGUGUUCCAUGCUUGUGUAUUGGCAGGUAUGUGUGGGUGUGUGUGUGUGGAUACAGGUGUGUCUGGGAGCACCUGUUUACAGGCAUCUUCAGGCCCGGAUUGGAGUCUUUGCCAUCUCCAGGCCUGGCCAGGUGGCUGGCCACACCUUAAAAAAAUGAUCGCACACCUGCAGCUGAUCAAACAUCGUCGGGGGAGCUACAAAGCAGUGUGGCUGAGAGCUCCUCGACACUGGAUCGUUUUGUGACUUCCCGAGGAUUUGUGGAAACAAGGAAGCAGCAGACGGACUGUACACAAGGAACGGAGACAGAGCACGGCGCACUGGAGAAGGGAGAAGACACGGAACGGGAGUCGGGAUCGCACUGGGGAUUUAUUGUUGUUUGGAUUGUUACAUCUCUGUAAAUAAAUGCACUGCCUUCA